UGGGGAAUCUUGGACAAUGGGGGCAACCCUGAUCCAGCCAUGCCGCGUGAGUGAUGAAGGCCCUAGGGUCGUAAAGCUCUUUCGCCUGUGAAGAUAAUGACGGUAGCAGGUAAAGAAACCCCGGCUAACUCCGUGCCAGCAGCCGCGGUAAUACGGAGGGGGUUAGCGUUGUUCGGAAUUACUGGGCGUAAAGCGCACGUAGGCGGACCAGAAAGUUGGGGGUGAAAUCCCGGGGCUCAACCCCGGAACUGCCUCCAAAACUAUUGGUCUAGAGUUCGAGAGAGGUGAGUGGAAUUCCGAGUGUAGAGGUGAAAUUCGUAGAUAUUCGGAGGAACACCAGUGGCGAAGGCGGCUCACUGGCUCGAUACUGACGCUGAGGUGCGAAAGUGUGGGGAGCAAACAGGAUUAGAUACCCCCGUAGUCC
rnacentral:rRNA from 1 species